rnacentral:lncRNA from 1 species
AGAGACAGCCAGCUCUCCAGAGAUCCUCCAGGCUGGGGCAGCACUCAGUGCUGAGGCUGUGGGUGCAAGUAGCACAGAACAGUUGACAAGCAUGGUCAUCUACACCCAGGACGGCUCCCCAGCAGCCACAGUGAUCCAGAGCCAAAGAGAAAACAGUGAGCUCCAGGAAGCAUGAGGCACAGGGUAGUGUGCCAAGAUCCCCUUGGGCCAGCACAGAGGUCACUGAACUUUGUCAUGUUUACUUCAGAGUGUGCUGAACAAGCCCUUCAGGCACGGCUAACAUUGGCCACUAAAAGGCACCAAGGAGGGCAGAAAGCCAAGCCUACACCUAGGUUGCCCAGCAGCCUAAUAAGAGAGGGUAGGCUGGUCAUUGGGCCCUCUGCUGAUGGCUCACCCAUCACGAACCACUGGUGAAAAGCACUUUUCCCUGGUUUUUCUCCCGUAUAAGUUCCCUAUUUAGUCAUCAAAAGAUGGUGUCGCCUGCUGGGAAACAGGAAGCAUCUCUGGCCUCAGCACCUGCUACGUAUGGCUCGAACAGCCCUGUCAUCUCCUCCCACAUUCGGUUAAAAAUCGGAACUACCAAGAUCACAUCUUGAAGCAGUGAACACAUUGUUUUUUAUUGUUAUUUUAAGUUUCAGAUAAUGGUGUUCCCAGACCAAAGGAAGCCUGUUAACUCAUCUUAUGUAGAAAUUUCCUCUCUGCGAAUUUUUAGGGGAUUCCUUUGUCAUGACCACUCUGCACAAGAGAGACCUUUCUUCUGUGGUUUGAGAAAAGUCUUGAAAUUUUUAUUCAGUUACAGUCCACCUAGGUUGAAACAAUUAAUUCUCAUUCUGAAUUCAUUUCAUACCAUAACGUCUGUACAUGAAAUACCCACUAUGAAAAAUAUUAUUCAUUGCUUUUUAAACAAAUAUUUGUUUCUAUCAGUAUCGUUUUUGCAGGAUUUAUUGUGACUUCUCAGAGUAUGGGAAGGCUGACAUUGAACAUUGCAGUAGAUGCCUCCCCCUUGCCCUGCCUCCCCCAGCACUGCCUGCUCCAGGGCCAAUUCACUGCAAGUGCAGGAUGCAGGGUGAUGUUCCGGUGAUCUUUCUCGAUUCCAUUGCUCUGUUUGUUUUGUUUCCAAAAUUGUAAAAUAGCCCCCAUUCCUCAAAGGCAAAAUUGUUCUUGUUGUUUUCUUUGAAAUAAAAUUAUAGUGUUAAACUA